GAGGUCCUGAGCCCCCUGUUACCCAUCCCCGGGCAUGGGGAAGGUGGGACCUUUCUCCUAGCCCCCAUCUCUGCACGGAGGGGGGGUGUAGGACACAUCCUGGUGGCCACCUCACCCCAUCCCACAGGUGAAGCCCUCUCCGGGGAGGUGUACGCCGCGCUGCUGGCUGAGAACCGCAGGCUGCGGGAGGAGCUGGCGAGACCCCCCCAGCCCUCUCCCCACAUCGCCCCACGGCCCCCAGCCUUGACGGGUGCUUUUGGAGGCACGGAGAAGCUGUCUCUGCUGGCCAGGCUGGAGGAGGCACAAGCCCGUGGGAGGGUGCUGGAGAGGCAGUUGGAGGAGGCAGCAAGGAGGUGGGGACGGGAGAAGCAGGAGCUGGGCACCCGUCUGCUGGAGCAGGAGCAUGGGUUCCCCCACGACCCCACCUCGAACCUGCUGGCCAUCUCCACGGCCACCCCGAGAAGACCCCAGCCCCUGGCACACCCCCUGCCCUAAACCCACCCCCGGCGAGAGAGAGACCAAGAAACCCAGCGCUGGC